rnacentral:rRNA from 1 species
AUUGAACGCUGGCGGCAUGCCUUACACAUGCAAAUCGAACGGUAACGGGCCUUCGGGUGCCGACGAGUGGCGCACGGGUGAGUAAUACAUCGGAACGUGCCCGAUCGUGGGGGAUAACGAGGCGAAAGCUUUGCUAAUACCGCAUACGAUCUACGGAUGAAAGCAGGGGACCGCAAGGCCUUGCGCGGACGGAGCGGCCGAUGGCAGAUUAGGUAGUUGGUGGGAUAAAAGCUUACCAAGCCGACGAUCUGUAGCUGGUCUGAGAGGAUGAUCAGCCACACUGGGACUGAGACACGGCCCAGACUCCUACGGGAGGCAGCAGUGGGGAAAUUUGGACAAUGGGCGCAAGCCUGAUCCAGCCAUGCCGCGUGCAGGAUGAAGGCCUUCGGGUUGUAAACUGAUUUUGUACGGAACGAAAAGCCUUCUUUUAAUACAGGAGGGUCAUGACGGUACCGUAAGAAUAAGCACCGGCUAACUACGUG